rnacentral:rRNA from 1 species
CCAGACUCCUACGGGAGGCAGCAGUGGGGGAUAUUGGACAAUGGGGGGAACCCUGAUCCAGCGAUGCCGCGUGAGGGAAGAAGGUUUUCGGAUUGUAAACCUCUGUGGACAGGGACGAUAAUGACGGUACCUGACCAAGAAGCCCCGGCUAACUACGUGCCAGCAGCCGCGGUAAUACGUAGGGGGCAAGCGUUAUCCGGAUUUACUGGGUGUAAAGGGAGCGCAGGCGGCGUGGCAAGUCAGAUGUGAAAACCCGGGGCCCAACCCCGGGAGUGCAUUUGAAACUGCCAUGCUGGAGUGCCGGAGAGGUAAGCGGAAUUCCUAGUGUAGCGGUGAAAUGCGUAGAUAUUAGGAGGAACACCAGUGGCGGAGGCGGCUUACUGGACGGUAACUGACGCUGAGGCUCGAAAGCGUGGGGAGCAAACAGGAUUAGAUACCCGGGUAUG